GUGGAAGAACAGCAAGUACAAAGGCCCUGAGGUAGAAGCCUCCUUUGCAUGCAGUUAUCUGGAGCAAAGUAAUAGGCAAUGAGUAUAGAAAGAUAACCAGAGUCAGUCGGGCGUGGUGGUUCACGCCUGUAAUCCCCGCACUUUGGGAAGCUGAGGCGGGCGGAUCACGAAGUCAGGAGAUCGAGACCAAUUGCAUGUGAGAUGAGACUCUUGGCAUACCAUUGAGUUUUGGUUCUUUAUCCACCUUGCCAAUCUGUGCCUUGUAAUUGGGGCAUUUAGCCAAUUUACAUUAAAGGUUAGUAUUGAUGUAUGGUUAAGUCUGAUGGACUUCCCUUUGUAGGUGGCCUGACCUUUCUAGCUGCCUUUUUUUUUCUUUUUUCAUUGCGACCUUGGAAAUGAUUAGGUGGAACAGAGCCACCUACUCCUUGGAAUGCCCACCUUGAACUGAUAUGUGAGAAAAAAACCAAACUUUUAUCUUUUUUUUUUUUUUUUUUUU
rnacentral:lncRNA from 1 species